AUGAUUUACUCUCUUCAGCUCCUGAGGAUGCUUGUGCUCUGGAUUCCUGGAAUCAGUAAAGUUAUUGUGAUGACUCAGGGUGCACUGUCCAAUCCUUUCACUUCUGUAGAGUCAGCUUCCAUCUCUUGCAGGUCUAGUUAAGAGUCUCCUACUUAAGGAUGGGAAGGCAUACUUGGAUUGGUUUCUUCAAAGGCCCGGACACCCUACUUGGCUCCUGAUCCAUUUGAUGCCAACCUGUGCGUCAGGAGUCUCAGACAAGUUUACUGACAGUGGGUCAGGAACAGAUUUCACACUGAAAAAUCAGUAAAGUGGAGGUUGAAGAUGUGGGUGUGCAUUACUGUUAGCAAGUUGUAGAGUAUAUUC